rnacentral:rRNA from 1 species
GACGAACCGUACGAACGUUAUUCGGAAUUACUGGGCUUAAAGGGUGCGUAGGCUGCGCGGUAAGUUGGGUGUGAAAGCCCUCAGCUCAACUGAGGAAUUGCACUCAAAACUACCGUGCUCGAGGGAGACAGAGGUAAGCGGAACUCAAGGUGGAGCGGUGAAAUGCGUUGAUAUCUUGAGGAACACCGGUGGCGAAGGCGGCUUACUGGGUCUUUUCUGACGCUGAGGCACGAAAGCCAAGGUAGCAAACGGG